UCGAGCGGCAGCGCGAAAGUAGCUUGCUACUUUGCCGGCGAGCGGCGGACGGGUGAGUAAUGUCUGGGAAACUGCCUGAUGGAGGGGGAUAACUANUNNAAACGGUAGCUNAAACCGCAUAACGUCGCAAGACCAAAGAGGGGGACCUUCGGGCCUCUUGCCAUCAGAUGUGCCCAGAUGGGAUUAGCUAGUAGGUGGGGUAACGGCUCACCUAGGCGACGAUCCCUAGCUGGUCUGAGAGGAUGACCAGCCACACUGGAACUGAGACACGGUCCAGANUNAUACGGGAGGCAGCAGUGGGGAAUAUUGCACAAUGGGCGCAAGCCUGAUGCAGCCAUGCCGCGUGUAUGAAGAAGGCC
rnacentral:rRNA from 1 species